UACGGAGGGUGCUAGCGUUGUUCGGAAUUACUGGGCGUAAAGGGCGCGUAGGCGGCCUUCUAAGUCAGACGUGAAAUCCCCCGGCUUAACCUGGGAACUGCGUCUGAUACUGGAAGGCUUGCGUGCGGGAGAGGGAUGUGGAAUUCCAGGUGUAGCGGUGAAAUGCGUAGAUAUCUGGAGGAACACCGGUGGCGAAGGUGGCAUCCUGGGACCGACACUGACGCUGAGGCGCGAAAAGCUAGGGUAGCAAACGGGG
rnacentral:rRNA from 1 species